CGCCCUGGCCACUGCGGGACCCUGGCUCAGUCCUGUUCUCCGACUGGCCCCCGGAUCACCCAGCCCCGGAGGGAGGCCCGGGGACCGCUGCUGAGAGCGUGGCGGGCGUGCGAGCGCCGCCCAAUCACUGCGGCUACCCGCGGGAAUGACGGCCUCCCAGGCCAAUCAGCGCGGUCCGAGGGGGCUGGGCCGCGAGGAGAAUAAAAGCAGCCCCGUUGAUGACUGAAAAUGACCAAGCACCCACCUAACAGACGAGGAAUCAGCUUUGAAGUGGGAGCCCAGUUGGAAGCCCGGGACCGUUUAAAAAACUGGUAUCCGGCUCAUAUUGAAGACAUUGACUACGAAGAAGGGAGAGUCCUCAUCCAUUUCAAGCGGUGGAACCAUCGUUACGAUGAGUGGUUUUGUUGGGACAGUCCUUAUCUGCGUCCUUUAGAGAAGAUACAGCUGAGGAAAGAGGGUUUGCAUGAAGAGGAUGGAUCUUCUGAAUUUCAAAUAAACCAGCAAGUGCUUGCUUGCUGGUCUGACUGUCGAUUUUAUCCAGCCAGAGUCACUGCUGUGAACAAGGAUGGUACUUACACUGUGAAAUUUUAUGAUGGAGUAGUUCAAACUGUCAAACAUAUUCAUGUCAAAGCUUUUUCCAAAGAUCAGGUGAGAAAUGUGGUUUUGUGCUUUUGUGUUCUGAACUAUGCUAACAUUGUACUUUGUUUCUCCAAUAAAGACAUUACAUGUGCUUCUGACGACAA
rnacentral:lncRNA from 1 species